GACGAACCGUGCGAACGUUGUUCGGAAUUACUGGGCGUAAAGGGCUCGUAGGUGGCCAACUAAGUCAGACGUGAAAUCCCUCGGCUUAACCGGGGAACUGCGUCUGAUACUGGAUGGCUUGAGAUUGGGAGAGGGAUGCGGAAUUCCAGGUGUAGCGGUGAAAUGCGUAGAUAUCUGGAGGAACACCGGUGGCGAAGGCGGCAUCCUGGACCAACACUGACACUGAGGAGCAGAAAGCCAGGGGAGCAAACGGG
rnacentral:rRNA from 1 species